CUACGGGAGGCAGCAGUGAGGAAUAUUGCACAAUGGGGGGAACCCUGAUGCAGCAACGCCGCGUGGAGGAUGACGCAUUUCGGUGUGUAAACUCCUUUUAUAUGUCAAGAAAAUGACGGUAGCAUAUGAAUAAGCACCGGCUAACUCCGUGCCAGCAGCCGCGGUAAUACGGAGGGUGCAAGCGUUACUCGGAAUCACUGGGCGUAAAGGACGCGUAGGCGGGUUGGAAAGUCAGGUGUGAAAUCCUACAGCUUAACUGUAGAACUGCACUUGAAACUUCUAAUCUAGAGUAUGGGAGGGGGAGAUGGAAUUAGUGGUGUAAGGGUAAAAUCCGUAGAUAUCACUAGGAAUACCUAAGGCGAAGGCGAUCUCCUGGAACAUUACUGACGCUAAGGCGUGAAAGCGUGGGGAGCAAACAGGAUUAGAUACCCCCGUAGUC
rnacentral:rRNA from 1 species